rnacentral:rRNA from 1 species
UACGUAGGGUGCAAGCGUUGUCCGGAAUUAUUGGGCGUAAAGAGCUCGUAGGCGGUUCGUCGCGUCGGCUGUGAAAACCCGGAGCUCAACUCCGGGCCUGCAGUCGAUACGGGCGGACUUGAGUGUUGCAGGGGAGACUGGAAUUCCUGGUGUAGCGGUGAAAUGCGCAGAUAUCAGGAGGAACACCGGUGGCGAAGGCGGAUCUCUGGGCCUUACCUGACGCUCAGGCGCGAAAGCUAGGGGAGCGAACAGG